AUACGUAGGGUGCGAGCGUUAAUCGGAAUUACUGGGCGUAAAGCGUGCGCAGGCGGUUUUGUAAGACAGUGGUGAAAUCCCCGGGCUCAACCUGGGAACUGCCAUUGUUACUGCAAGGCUGGAGUGCGGCAGAGGGGGAUGGAAUUCCGCGUGUAGCAGUGAAAUGCGUAGAUAUGCGGAGGAACACCGAUGGCGAAGGCAAUCCCCUGGGCCUGCACUGACGCUCAUGCACGAAAGCGUGGGGAGCAAACAGGAUUAGAUACCCUGGUAGUCCACGCCCUAAACGAUGUCAACUGGUUGUUGGGAAUUUAUUUUCUCAGUAACGAAGCUAACGCGUGAAGUUGACCGCCUGGGGAGUACGGCCGCAAGGUUAAAACUCAAAUGAAUUGACGGGG
rnacentral:rRNA from 1 species